CACUCGAACCCAAAACCCGAGUUCUCGAAAUUCCACCAAGGAAUUACUGUUGACCAAACAGGGUCGAAGCACACCCUGUAGCAGAAACCAUACCACAUGCUGGAUCAAAAGGUCCACUGCCAAUAUUGUCACCUUCAAUGAUUUCUAAAGCAUUACAGACAUCUCCAAAACUAUACCUACACUCCAUGAGUCCAUUGGCAUUACAAGAACACAGUGUACCCGCUAAAAUUGGUGG
rnacentral:lncRNA from 1 species